rnacentral:lncRNA from 1 species
AUUUUUUAUAUGACAGAUUAAUAUACAAUGUACAUUAACUGUUGAAAAAAUAUUGGAACAACAUACGCCUGCAUAAGUAUACAUCUUCCAAUUCAUACGACAUUCCCGGGCUUGUAUGUCCUAUCAUGAUUUCCUUGAUAGAGGGUUGUUGCUCACAUGGAAGCUGUUGAACCAAGAGUUUCAAAUGGCGAAGUUAAAAAUCAUCCCCUCGUUAAUUUUACGGACGCCAUCACGAGUUGAAUGACCGUUACAGAAUUACCGUUUCACAGAUUAUAUUGGAAAUGUUCCUUGUGUCGGUAACUACAAUCCCCUUCCAUUGUCACGAAUGUAACCUACCGUAAUACACUAUUUCCCGGGUUUAUAAUAUAAUGAGCAACACGACCGUGCCACAUGUGGAUCAGGAUCUGCUUACAUUUCCGGAGCACCUGAGAUCAACCCCAGUUUUUGGUGGUUCGUGUUGAUUGGUCUUAAUUUUCUAUGUCUUGUGUACCAUUAUGUGUCUGUUUGUCUUUUACCUUUUUUAGCCAUGGCGUUGUCAGUUUAUUUUCGAUCUAUGAUUUUGACUGUCCCUCUGGUAUCUUUCGUCC